rnacentral:lncRNA from 1 species
CCGCGCUGCCUGUCAAGGCGCCGUCGCCCGCCCUCGGCGGCCCCUCCCCAACCGCUCGCUCGCUCGCCACCACAGCAGCAGCGGGCGUCAACAAUCCGCCUCCGGAAGCGGAAACCCCACCUCUCCGGCGCGCCAGGCUUGGGGAGCCGGGCGGGCGGUUGGUGGUGCUUUGUGAGUUGGUUCCUGGGCUACGCGAUGUUUCUCGGGGGUCCUCUGUGCAUGCUGCACCUAAUGGCUUGAACAUGACAGUGAUGCCGAGAGUCAAUCCUGUCUUUCCUCUGGGAGACAGAAAAGACAUCACUUUUGGCCUUUAAGAAAUUCAUCUGCUUCAAGGGAAAGUCUUCCAUGAAACACUUGAACACCUAUUCACGAUCAUCACUAGCAGCAGGAAACAUAGCUCAACACCACCAGCUGUGCAACCUGCGACACUCCUUUCCCAGCUUCAGAGACCUUUAUUUAGAACCCAAGGCUUGCUGGUUGGUUCCUGUAGCAUCCAUGAACAUUACCCACGAAAUCUGGCACAAGGAAAGACUGUCGUAGGGUUAAGACUCGAUCUCACUUGGAAAUAUGAGACUGGGGUGAAGGAAAAGCAAAGUCAGCUGAACGGGAGCAGGGUACGUGGAGAAAACGACUAUCACAUAAAGGGGAAAGUCUAUUAUGUUGGGUGGUGUUUGGUUGGGGCAAACAUGUGAAGGAGUGUUUUCCUGAACUGGACACAGAUUUAGGUAGAGUUGUGAGGGAACGCUUGACUAAAGUAGACCCAGGUGAACGGAUGUUCUGCUAAAGCA